GAGGGCGGAGCGGAGCGGCUGAGGCGGAAAAUCCGGCCCUGAAAUAAUCCUGGUUUUAUCGGGAAAUCCGGCCCGGAAAUACACCGGGACAGUGUAUUUCAAGAAGAUGAAUGCAGAGGCCCUUGGAUGUGACACUUCAUGGAAAUAAAAUGCAAAAAGCAUUCCAGGGCAUGAAAUCUUCCCAUGGUUUCAGGCAAGAAAAGCUGAUUUUUCAGUCCUGGGAUGCAGAGUGUGUUGUCUGUCACUGGGGUUUUAUGUUUUAUCCUCCUGCUGGGUUUGGAGUGCCUGGCCAAAGGGCAGAGAUUUUGUAUUUUCUCACUGCUGAUGAAGUGCAGCAGAAGUGAUCCUGUGUCUCUUGGAGCAGAGAACUCUGUGCUGAUCUCUACAUUUAAUAUAAAGGUGGAUGCAGGAGAGAAAUAAAUGCAUUGAUGCAGGGGUGGAAAUAAACAGCUCUGCCUACACAUUGUUCAAGUUUUAAAAUCACCUCUUUGCUGAGUGGGCUGCUCAGGGCUGGCCAUUUUUCUUGUAGUUAGCUGC